rnacentral:lncRNA from 10 species
ACACGGAGACAUUGUUUCAUUUAAUUUUCACAACAAACUCUUUGAUAUAAGGACAUAUGACUAUCAGCAAACAUAUUUGACAGAUGUAAAAACAGAGGCAGCAUAGCCUGGUGCUAGACCCCAACAUCUUCCUCCACAACUUUUAUUCAAGUUGUUUAUUUCCAUUAAGCCAUUACACCCCUACAGUCUAAGAGUUCUUUAGCAAAAAUAUUGAGGGAAAUGUAAUGUAUGAUUGCUAUACGGACACUUUUUAAAAUACAUCUCCCAGCUAGGCUUUGAACACUUGAGGGGCAUGGAUUAUAUGCAAAUUGUCCAACUCUGUCCCCACUCCCAACAAGCCAGUGCCUGAUGAAUGAAUACCAACAAAUGUGAAUUUUUCCUUAAGUCUUCAUCACAAUUUGUACUUCUUGUAUUUGUUUAUAUGUUUAUUAUCAGUGUUUCCUACCAGACUGUGAGUUGCACAAUGCAGGAAUUUUAGGGUCCAGAUCACUACUCUAUUCUACUCCCAGAGCCUAGCACAGUAUCCAGCUCAGAGUAGGUGCUGUGUAAUGCUGGAUGACUGAACAAAUCCUCUACAUUCGUUAUCUUUUAUUACACGCAUACAUCUUUGUUUCCUUGCAUACGACAUGUUUCAAGUCGUCUGGAGCACGUCGACAUUUGGGAAUAGGCAUCCAAGUGCUUACAGUAUGAAUUUUGCCACUGUUGGGAGUAAGAUGAGGUUCAAUCAACUGCUUCUGGAAUGACUUACUGUGGGAGCUAGCAGCAGAGACCUUGCGGGGCUGCUUCCUGCCUGGGUCUUCCCCACCUUGAUCUCUCAAAACUCCUUACAAAAACAGCUGACUCUGGCUCCCGGAAAGCGAAGUUCUUGAUCACGCUGCGAGUUUUGCACACAAUGUUAGCACGCUGAUUCUUCCACUGCCGGGAGGAGGCCCGGGGCUCUGAGGGCCGGUCCCUGCGGUAGUGAGCUCGUGGGGGAUGAACGGGGAGCGAGUGGCCGCGGGGAGGAGCGAGAGGGUCGCAGCCCCGAGGGCUGUCCUGUGAGCAGGCUGCGGGGCCUGGCGCGCGGGGACCCGGGGAAGACGCUACAAGGCCUGGAGGCGCCGCGCCUUGGGACCCGGAGGAGGCCCAGGGCGGACACGUGGGGUGGCCUGGGGUCCCCCGCCCACGUAGCGCGGCUGCUGAAACUACAUGUGCCCUGGGCUGCCCGCCGCCCUGAGCCUGAGGCCAGGCGGGUCAACGUCGCAGCACCGCGGGCUUCUGCCAGAAGGACAUUUCCCCUCACCUCCUGACCACAUCGGCCUUGGAGAUGGGCGCGAAGCGCCUUACGCCCACAAGACAUCCCUUUAUCGGCUCUAUAGCUGGGCGAGACUGAGGUCUCGGACGGAACGCGCGCACUCACACCCCAUCCAGGAACUUCAGUGACACUCAGGGGUGCUGGCUCUUUGCUUUGCCCUUCGAGCAAGACUUGGGUAAGGGCUCCUCGAGCUUUCUGGUGCGGAGGCUUCCUGGGUCGGCCCGAGGCCUGUAGGUUCCCGGCCACUUCUUGCAGCUUGGCUGCGAGGGAGCGCUUCUCCGGGACCACUUUGGCUCGAUAAACUAAAACCCGCGGGGUGUUCGUCGGAAGGAUCCUGGGAGGCAAGGCUCAGACCCGCCCUCCCGACUCGCGGUGAAAUCCAAGGCCGCGCCGCGCGCUCCCCACGGGGCACGGAGCCGCGCGCUGCUCUCGGCGCGCCCCGGGAACGCGCCGCAGCGGCCUUGGAGGGGCUGCAGUUCCUCUUCUCACUGUUCUUGGGAAGUCUUUCCUUUUCCGUAAACCUAAUUUAGGAAUCCAAAGGCACCGAAGCCCGUUAAUGUCGCUUUUAAAGUGUCUACCAGAAAGAGCUGGAGGGAGGCUGUGGACAGGAAUCUCCGGCCAUGUUCGGGAGUAGACAGAUGCCCUUGUGCUGAGAAGCGGGUCUCCCUUCUCCCAUUCUCUCCUGCCGCCAACGGUGGCUGCCAGGCUGUGCCCUCCGCUUGGCACCCUGCCCCGCCGUCUCGGCUCUGCUCUCGACCACGGCGCCUGCGGACGGUUGGUUAGACCUGCCGGGACCGGUCCCUGCAGCUCCCAGCUAAGGGAGCAUUCGUUAGCAUUCGUUAAGCGAGGGACCAUUGUCCAAAAGCCGGAAACCGAUUACUUCCUGGACAGUUUUGGGGGUCGACUGUCUUCUGAGUUCCGGGAGCUACAAAUGAGAAUUUGAAAGAGUGGUGUAUAUAAGGAGACAUCUUCCAGUCUUCCAUAUAAUCAAAUUCCAUAUAAACAAACUCAGAUGUAUAACAAAAUUUUACAUUCUUAGGCGCCAAAGUUUAAACGGGAUGUAAAUAACAAUCCAAUACCCUCCUGUGGCCCCAAUGCUCUUUGUACAUUCCAAAACUAUCUACAUUAUAUAUGAGCACCCGAGAGACAUGUUUCUCCAAUCGCGAAUUUGC